rnacentral:rRNA from 1 species
CAGUAGCCGCGGGAAAACGAAGGGGGCUAGCGUUGUUCGGAUUUACUGGGCGUAAAGCGCACGUAGGCGGACUUUUAAGUCAGGGGUGAAAUCCCGGGGCUCAACCCCGGAACUGCCUUUGAUACUGGAAGUCUUGAGUAUGGUAGAGGUGAGUGGAAUUCCGAGUGUAGAGGUGAAAUUCGUAGAUAUUCGGAGGAACACCAGUGGCGAAGGCGGCUCACUGGACCAUUACUGACGCUGAGGUGCGAAAGCGUGGGGAGCAAACAGGAUUAGAUACCCCGGUAGUCCCUGUCUCUUAUAA